UACGUAGGUGGCAAGCGUUGUCCGGAUUUAUUGGGCGUAAAGCGAGCGCAGGCGGUUUCUUAAGUCUGAUGUGAAAGCCCCCGGCUCAACCGGGGAGGGUCAUUGGAAACUGGGAGACUUGAGUGCAGAAGAGGAGAGUGGAUUCCAUGUGUAGCGGUGAAAUGCGUAGAUAUAUGGAGGACACCAGUGGCGAAGGCGGCUCUCUGGUCUGUAACUGACGCUGAGGCUCGAAAGCGUGGGGAGCAAACAGGAUUAGAUAC
rnacentral:rRNA from 1 species